AUUGAACGCUGGCGGCAGGCCUAACACAUGCAAGUCGAGCGGAUGAAGGGAGCUUGCUCCUGGAUUCAGCGGCGGACGGGUGAGUAAUGCCUAGGAAUCUGCCUGGUAGUGGGGGAUAACGUCCGGAAACGGGCGCUAAUACCGCAUACGUCCUGAGGGGGAAAGUGGGGGAUCUUCGGACCUCACGCUAUCAGAUGAGCCUCGGUCGGAUUAGCUAGUUGGUGGGGUAAAGGCCUACCAAGGCGACGAUCCGUAACUGGUCUGAGAGGAUGAUCAGUCACACUGGAACUGAGACACGGUCCAGACUCCUACGGGAGGCAGCAGUGGGGAAUAUUGGACAAUGGGCGAAAGCCUGAUCCAGCCAUGCCGCGUGUGUGAAGAAGGUCUUCGGAUUGUAAAGCACUUUAAGUUGGGAGGAAGGGCAGUAAGUUAAUACCUUGCUGUUUUGACGUUACCAACAGAAUAAGCACCGGCUAACUUCGUG
rnacentral:rRNA from 1 species